rnacentral:rRNA from 1 species
GGGGAAUAUUGGGCAAUGGGGGAAACCCUGACCCAGCAACGCCGCGUGAAGGACGAAGGCCUUCGGGUUGUAAACUUCUUUGAUCAGGGACGAAACAAAUGACGGUACCUGAGGAACAAGCCACGGCUAACUACGUGCCAGCAGCCGCGGUAAUACGUAGGGGGCAAGCGUUAUCCGGAAUUACUGGGUGUAAAGGGUGCGUAGGCGGUAAUGUAAGUCAGGUGUGAAAGCCCGAAGCUCAACUUCGGGAUUGCACUUGAAACUACAUAACUAGAGUACAGGAGAGGUGAGUGGAAUUCCUAGUGUAGCGGUGAAAUGCGUAGAUAUUAGGAGGAACACCAGUGGCGAAGGCGACUCACUGGACUGUAACUGACGCUGGGGCACGAAAGCGUGGGGAGCGAAC